GAUCCUGGCUCAGGAUGAACGCUGGCGGAGUGCUUAACACAUGCAAGUCGAACGAAGCACUUUGAUUGAUUUCUUCGGAAUGAAGUUUUAGUGACUGAGUGGCGGACGGGUGAGUAACGCGUGGGUAACCUGCCUCACACAGGGGGAUAACAGUUGGAAACGGCUGCUAAUACCGCAUAAGCGCACAGUGCCGCAUGGUACGGUGUGAAAAACUCCGGUGGUGUGAGAUGGACCCGCGU
rnacentral:rRNA from 1 species